rnacentral:lncRNA from 10 species
CCUGAGUCAACCAAAAAGCACAACAGAACUCAACACAACAAAACACUUUGUUGCUGCUUGAAGGCUGCAGAUAGCGUUCUAACCCUGCACCGUGGGAGGUGUUUCAUCAUCCGGUUUUUCAAUUCCCCUUGGAUUCACUCUUUUUAGAUGCCUAGACUGUGACAGUGUGAGGGAAAGGCUGCUGCCAAAAGUGGAGGACUUAAAGCUGGAGGCCGCCCCAAAGACGGGGAAAUGAAGAAAACGCCGUUUCUGGAGCUCCCUGAGGAAACUGAUACAGUGAUGAGGAUGAAGGCAUAGAGAAACAACCUUCAAGAAGGACUGGACGAAAGAAAGAGCAACAGCAGUCCCCAAGUUUUGCAUCUCUGUCUUAUGACUCUGAUUCUUCAGCUCCAAGCUCCACAACCACUAACAACUACAGGUCUUGAUUCUGUCCCUGGCCACUCAGGGAAGCAUGAGGAAUUUCACUGCCUUCCAGCAAUUAAAUUGCAUUCAAGAAUUCUACAGUAGCCUUGGUGGUCUGCAACGACAUUUCAGGGAUUAGAUGCUCUAUCUCCUGUCUGCAGACACAUGAGCAGAACCCAGGAUGGAAGAAUGUAAUCACCAGCGUGACUCCAGUGAUGGAGAUGAACUAGAUGUGGAGACUGGGGAGCAGCAGAGUCAACUCAGUUAUCAUCUUGGCGGCCGGGCUGCCGUCCAGCUCACAGAAGCCACCUGAUCCGGAAAAGAUUUCCAAAGCCUGCUGGAGUAAGUUUGGCAGCUGUUUCCAUACAGGCAGAGGCCAGUGUCAUCUCCAGCACCUGGGGGACAUAAGAGAAAGAGCCAGUGGCCUCCAAGACAAUCUCAGGUGAAUACGCUUGACCCAGACGAGGGAAGGAUCACACAAACUCUCCGUUGAUGUAUGUGGCAGUUAAUAAAUCAUUUUCAAGAAGC